CCUACGGGUGGCAGCAGUGGGGAAUAUUGGACAAUGGGCGAAAGCCUGAUCCAGCCAUGCCGCGUGUGUGAAGAAGGCCUUCGGGUUGUAAAGCACUUUCAGUGGGGAAGAAAGCCUUGGGGCUAAUACCCUCGAGGAAGGACAUCACCCACAGAAGAAGCACCGGCAUAACUCCGUGCCAGCAGCCGCGGUAAUACGGAGGGUGCGAGCGUUAAUCGGAAUUACUGGGCGUAAAGCGCGCGUAGGCGGUCUGAUAAGCCGGUUGUGAAAGCCCCGGGCUCAACCUGGGAACGGCAUCCGGAACUGUCCGGCGAGAGUGCAGGAGAGGAAGGUAGAAUUCCCGGUGUAGCGGUGAAAUGCGUAGAGAUCGGGAGGAAUACCAGUGGCGAAGGCGGCCUUCUGGACUGACACUGACGCUGAGGUGCGAAAGCGUGGGUAGCAAACAGGAUUAGAUACCCCUGUAGUC
rnacentral:rRNA from 1 species